GUGGGGAAUCUUGCGCAAUGGGCGAAAGCCUGACGCAGCCAUGCCGCGUGAAUGAUGAAGGUCUUAGGAUUGUAAAAUUCUUUCACCGGGGACGAUAAUGACGGUACCCGGAGAAGAAGCUCCGGCUAACUUCGUGCCAGCAGCCGCGGUAAUACGAAGGGGGCUAGCGUUGCUCGGAAUUACUGGGCGUAAAGGGCGCGUAGGCGGACAGCUUAGUCAGAGGUGAAAGCCCAGGGCUCAACCUUGGAAUUACCUUUGAUACUGGCUGUCUUGAGUUUGGGAGAGGUGAGUGGAACUCCGAGUGUAGAGGUGAAAUUCGUAGAUAUUCGGAAGAACACCAGUGGCGAAGGCGACUCACUGGCCCAAUACUGACGCUGAGGCGCGAAAGCGUGGGGAGCAAACAGGAUUAGAUACCCUGGUAGUCC
rnacentral:rRNA from 1 species